CGUGUGUGAAGAAGGCCUUUUGGUUGUAAAGCACUUUAAGCGGGGAGGAGGCUCUUGAGGAUAAUACCCUUGAUGAGUGGACGUUACCCGCAGAAUAAGCACCGGCUAACUCUGUGCCAGCAGCCGCGGUAAUACAGAGGGUGCGAGCGUUAAUCGGAUUUACUGGGCGUAAAGCGUGCGUAGGCGGCUGAAUAAGUCGGAUGUGAAAUCCCCGAGCUUAACUUGGGAAUUGCAUACGAUACUGUUAUGGCUAGAGUAUGGGAGAGGAU
rnacentral:rRNA from 1 species